AGUCCUAAUACAUGCAAGUCGAACGAGAUUUGAGACUUCGGUUUCAAUGAAAGUGGCGCACGGGUGCGUAACACGUAUGCAACCUACCUCUUACAGGGGGAUAGCCCGGGGAAACCCGGAUUAAUACCCCAUGGUACUAUUGAUUGGCAUCAUGAGAUAGUUAAAGAUUUAUCGGUAAGAGAUGGGCAUGCGUCUGAUUAGCUAGUUGGUGGUGUAACGGACCACCAAGGCGACGAUCAGUAGGGGUUCUGAGAGGAAGGUCCCCCACACUGGCACUGAGAUACGGGCCAGACUCCUACGGGAGGCAGCAGUAGGGAAUAUUGGGCAAUGGGCGAGAGCCUGACCCAGCCAUGCCGCGUGCAGGAAGACGGCCUAUUGGGUUGUAAACUGCUUUUAUCUGGGAAGAAAAUGCUCCUGCGGGGGAAAUUGCCGGUACCAGAUGAAUAAGCACCGGCUAACUCCGUGCCAGCAGCCGCGGUAAUACGGAGGGUGCAAGCGUUGUCCGGAUUUAUUGGGUUUAAAGGGUGCGUAGGCGGCCUGUUAAGUCAGCGGUGAAAGACCACGGCUCAACCGUGGCAGUGCCGUUGAUACUGGCAGGCUUGAGUGCUGCAGGGGUACAUGGAAUUGAUGGUGUAGCGGUGAAAUGCAUAGAUACCAUCAGGAACACCGAUAGCGAAGGCAUUGUACUGGGCAGCAACUGACGCUGAUGCACG
rnacentral:rRNA from 1 species